rnacentral:rRNA from 1 species
CGGUCGCAGAGUAUAAAGGCAAAAGCGCGCUUGACUGCGAGACAGACACGUCGAGCAGGUACGAAAGUAGGUCUUAGUGAUCCGGUGGUUCUGUAUGGAAGGGCCAUCGCUCAACGGAUAAAAGGUACUCCGGGGAUAACAGGCUGAUACCGCCCAAGAGUUCAUAUCGACGGCGGUGUUUGGCACCUCGAUGUCGGCUCAUCACAUCCUGGGGCUGAAGCCGGUCCCAAGGGUAUGGCUGUUCGCCAUUUAAAGUGGUACGCGAGCUGGGUUUAGAACGUCGUGAGACAGUUCGGUCCCUAUCUGCCGUGGACGUUUGAGAUUUGAGAGGGGCUGCUCCUAGUACGAGAGGACCGGAGUGGACGAACCUCUGGUGUUCCGGUUGUCACGCCAGUGGCAUUGCCGGGUAGCUAUGUUCGGAAAAGAUAACCGCUGAAAGCAUCUAAGCGGGAAACUUGCCUCAAGAUGAGAUCUCACUGGGAACUUGAUUCCCCUGAAGGGCCGUCGAAGACUACGACGUUGAUAGGCUGGGUGUGUAAGCGUUGUGAGGCGUUGAGCUAACCAGUACUAAUUGCCCGUGAGGCUUGACCAU